rnacentral:rRNA from 1 species
GACGUAGGUGGCGAACGUUAUCCGGAAUUAUUGGGCGUAAAGGGUGCGUAGGUGGCCUGACAAGUUAUCAGUGGUAAAUCGAGGCUCAACCUCGUGGAAACUGGUAAUACUGUCCGGCUCGAGUACAGGAGAGGUUAACGGAACUCUAUGUGGAGCGGUAAAAUGCACAGAUAUAUAGAAGAACAUCAAUAACGGCGAAGGCAGUUAACUAUUCUGUUACUGACACUGAGGCACGAAAGCGUGGGGAGCGAACAGG